AUAUUGCACAAUGGGGGAAACCCUGAUGCAGCAACGCCGCGUGAAGGAUGACGGUUUUCGGAUUGUAAACUUCUGUUCUCGUUGACGAAGACAGUGUCGGUAAACGAGGAGCAAGCCACGGCUAACUACGUGCCAGCAGCCGCGGUGAUACGUAGGUGGCAAGCGUUGUCCGGAAUUACUGGGUGUAAAGGGAGCGCAGGCGGGAGAGCAAGUCAGCUGUGAAAACCACGGGCUUAACCUGUGGACUGCAGUUGAAACUGUUCUUCUUGAGUGAAGUAGAGGUAAGCGGAAUUCCGAGUGUAGCGGUGAAAUGCGUAGAGAUUCGGAGGAACACCAGUGGCGAAGGCGGCUUACUGGACGGUAACUGACGUUGAGGCUCGAAAGCGUGGGGAGCAAACA
rnacentral:rRNA from 1 species